GCCUACGGGAGGCAGCAGUAGGGAAUUUUCGGCAAUGGGCGAAAGCCUGACCGAGCAAUGCCGCGUGAGUGAAGAAGGCCUUCGGGUUGUAAGGCUCUGUUGUAAAGGAAGAACGGAUGGCAUAGGGAAUGAUGCCAUUGUGACGGUACUUUACGAGGAAGUCACGGCUAACUACGUGCCAGCAGCCGCGGUAAUACGGAGGAUGCGAGCGUUAUCCGGAUUUAUUGGGUUUAAAGGGUGCGCAGGCGGAAGAUCAAGUCAGCGGUAAAAUUGAGAGGCUCAACCUCUUCGAGCCGUUGAAACUG
rnacentral:rRNA from 1 species